CCUACGGGAGGCAGCAGUGGGGAAUAUUGCACAAUGGGCGAAAGCCUGAUGCAGCGACGCCGCGUGAGGGAUGACGGCCUUCGGGUUGUAAACCUCUUUCAGCAGGGAAGAAGCGAAAGUGACGGUACCUGCAGAAGAAGCGCCGGCUAACUACGUGCCAGCAGCCGCGGUAAUACGUAGGGCGCAAGCGUUGUCCGGAAUUAUUGGGCGUAAAGAGCUCGUAGGCGGCUUGUUGCGUCGGUUGUGAAAGCCCGGGGCUUAACCCCGGGUCUGCAGUCGAUACGGGCAGGCUAGAGUGUGGUAGGGGAGAUCGGAAUUCCUGGUGUAGCGGUGAAAUGCGCAGAUAUCAGGAGGAACACCGGUGGCGAAGGCGGAUCUCUGGGCCAUUACUGACGCUGAGGAGCGAAAGCGUGGGGAGCGAACAGGAUUAGAUACCCUGGUAGUCCACGCCGUAAACGUUGGGAACUAGGUGUUGGCGACAUUCCACGUCGUCGGUGCCGCAGCUAACGCAUUAAGUUCCCCGCCUGGGGAGUACGGCCGCAAGGCUAAACGUCAAAGGAAUUGACGG
rnacentral:rRNA from 1 species